GCCCAGUAGAAGAGGGAGGUGCUGGCUAGAGACCAGUAGAAGAGGGAGGUGCUGGCUAGAGACCAGUAGAAGAGGGAGGUGCUGGCUAGAGACCAGUAGAAGAGGGAGGUGCUGGCUAGAGACCAGUAGAAGAGGGAGGUGCUGGCUAGAGACCAGUAGAAGAGGGAGGUGCUGGCUAGAUACCAGUAGAAGAGGGAGGGGCUUGCUGGAGACCAGUAGAAGAGGGAGGUGCUGGCUAGAGACCAGUAGAAGAGGGGGGUUCUGGCUAGAAACCAGUAGAAGAGCUAGGUGCUGGCUAGAGACCAGUAGAGGAGGGAGGUGCUGGUUAGAGACCAGUAGAAGAGGGAGGGGCUUGCUGGAGACCAGUAGAAGAGGGAGGUGCUGGCUAGAGACCAGUAGAAGAGGGGGGUUCUGGCUGGAGCCCAGUAGAAGAGGGAGGUGCUGGCUAGAGACCAGUAGAAGAGGGAGGUGCUGGCUAGAGACCAGUAGAAGAGGGAGGUGCUGGCUAGAGACCAGUAGAAGAGGGAGGUGCUGGCUAGAGACCAGUAGAAGAGGGAGGUGCUGGCUAGAGACAAGUAGAAGAGGGAGGUGCUGGCUAGAGACCAGUAGAAGAGGGAGGUGCUGGCUAGAGAACAGUAGAAGAGGGAGGUGCUGGCUAGAGACAAGUAGAAGAGGGAGGUGCUGGCUGGAGCCCAGUAGAAUAGGGAGGUGCUGGCUAGAGACCAGUAGAAGAGGGAGGUGCUGGCUAGAGACCAGUAGAAGAGGGAGGUGCUGGCUAGAGACCAGUAGAAGAGGGAGGUGCUGGCUAGAGACCAGUAGAAGAGGGAGGGGCUUGCUGGAUGGAGGUGCUGGCUAGAGACCAGUAGAAGAGCUAGGUGCUGGCUAGAGACCAGUAGAGGAGGGAGGUGCUGGUUAGAGACCAGUAGAAGAGGGAGGGGCUUGCUGGAGACCAGUAGAAGAGGGAGGUGCUGGCUAGAGACCAGUAGAAGAGGGGGGUUCUGGCUAGAAACCAGUAGAAGAGCUAGGUGCUGGCUAGAGACCAGUAGAGGAGGGAGGUGCUGGUUAGAUACCAGUAGAGGAGGGAGGUGCUGACUAGAGACCAGUAGAAGAGGGAGGUGCUUGCUGGAGCCCAGUAGAAGAGGGAGGUGCUGGCUAGAGACCAGUAGAAGAGGGAGGUGCUGGCUAGAGACCAGUAGAAGAGGGAGGUGCUGGCUAGAGACCAGUAGAAGAGGGAGGUGCUGGCUAGAGACCAGUAGAAGAGGGAGGGGCUUGCUG